CUCAACACAGAUUGUAAUGGAGGACGGUGCUAAGGAGAGGAUGAUGGAACAUGCUGACAGUCACGGUGUGCGGUCUCACCAUGGAAAAUUACAUUGAAAGUUCCUGCUGAAUGGGCCAUGCUAAACGUACAGCUCAGCUACAGCACGACGAUGAACAGCCACAUUACAGGUGUAACUAAAGAACCAAUGUGACUGCAACAAAGAGCUGCACCGUGGAUUGCUUGGCCCAAAGCCUAUUCAGCUGCUGACAGCCUUGGCUGGACCCUGGACAAUGUCAUUCAUCUUCCACUCCCCCCCACCCCCCCCCCCAAA